rnacentral:rRNA from 1 species
CUUUACUAUCAAAUACCCUCAAGCACUAAAUCCCAUCUGAUCUUCGAAGCUAAGCAAGAUCACCCAGGUUAUUACUUGGAUGGAAGGUUGCCAAGGCAUCUCAGGUGCUGUAGGCU